UGCACCCAUCUGCAGGUCAUAUCUCAG
rnacentral:piRNA from 1 species